rnacentral:lncRNA from 10 species
AGUGCUGCAGCCGCUGCCGCCGAUUCCGGAUCUCAUUGCCACGCGCCCCCGACGACCGCCCGACGUGCAUUCCCGAUUCCUUUUGGUUCCAAGUCCAAUAUGGCAACUCUAAAGGAUCAGCUGAUUUAUAAUCUUCUAAAGGAAGAACAGACCCCCCAGAAUAAGAUUACAGUUGUUGGGGUUGGUGCUGUUGGCAUGGCCUGUGCCAUCAGUAUCUUAAUGAAGUAGAGACGGGGUUUCACCAUGUUAGCCAGGAUGGUCUCGAUCUCCUGACCUCGUGAUCCGCCUACCUUGGCCUCCCAAAGUGCUGGGAUUACAAGCGUGAGCCACCGUGCCUGGCCUGGCCAGGCUGUCUUGAACUCCUGACCUCAAGUGAUGUGCCCGCCUCGGCCUCCCAAAGUGUUGGGAUUACAGAUGACUUGGCAGAUGAACUUGCUCUUGUUGAUGUCAUCGAAGACAAAUUGAAGGGAGAGAUGAUGGAUCUCCAACAUGGCAGCCUUUUCCUUAGAACACCAAAGAUUGUCUCUGGCAAAGACUAUAAUGUAACUGCAAACUCCAAGCUGGUCAUUA